rnacentral:lncRNA from 10 species
UGAUGGUGCAAACACAUCUUCAGCUUGCCAUCGUGUGAAGAGGUUUUGGCUCAAGGCCCGGCUCCUGCUGCUCGGGAGGUGAGAACCAAGGAGCAGAGAACUACAAUUCUUCCACACAGUGCAUCUGGCAUGAAAAGGCUGAGCUGAGCAUUCGUCCAUUGGGUAUAAAGAAGGCAGCAUGAUAAAUCAGGAAGACAAAGGAUUUUA